GUAAUAGUUCUAUAAAUUAAGCAUGUUUACCAGUUAUUCAUUAUUAUUAAAAAUCAUUUAUACCAUUCUAAAAGCCUAUCUAUUGAAUAUUAUAUACAUAUUGAAUCAAUACUUCCAGGACUCUUCUUAACAUUAGCCAUCUUGAAAUAUGCCCAGAAUGUGAUCAUGGCCACAACCGAAAGAACAAUCCCAAAAACCAGAAACCUUCGUCAUAAGAGUUUUUGUUGCCAUCUUUAUGAUCAUUGUUGUUGUUUCAGUCUUUUUAUCAUCAUCACUGUUCGUGGUGAUAUCGGGCUCCCCUCGGUCUCGGUAUCUGGUCCAUCCAUCUAUAGCUAGUUGAUAUUCGAUAGAAUUCACCAUAAUCCACGGUCCGCGCAACCAAAAAUUAAUUAGUGGUGCAGUUUCAAACACUUUUUUAAGAUUAAUUAAAUUAUCAUCGAUGAAAUUUCAAUUAAAUUAUCAACUUCUUGUUCACUAA